CAGCUAACAUACAACUGCUAUC
rnacentral:miRNA from 2 species